UGGGGAAUAUUGGACAAUGGGCGAAAGCCUGAUCCAGCCAUGCCGCGUGAGUGAUGAAGGCCCUAGGGUUGUAAAGCUCUUUCGCCAGGGACGAUAAUGACGGUACCUGGAGAAUAAGCCCCGGCAAACUUCGUGCCAGCAGCCGCGGUAAUACGAAGGGGGCUAGCGUUGUUCGGAAUUACUGGGCGUAAAGCGCACGUAGGCGGAUUGUUAAGUCAGAGGUGAAAUCCCGGAGCUCAACUUCGGAACUGCCUUUGAUACUGGCAAUCUAGAGUCCGGAAGAGGUUAGUGGAAUUCCCAGUGUAGAGGUGAAAUUCGUAGAUAUUGGGAAGAACACCAGUGGCGAAGGCGGCUAACUGGUCCGGUACUGACGCUGAGGUGCGAAAGCGUGGGGAGCAAACAGGAUUAGAUACCCCCGUAGUCCCUGAGCGGGCUGGCAAGGCGCAU
rnacentral:rRNA from 1 species